rnacentral:rRNA from 1 species
UUUUCAGCCGCCGCGGUAAUACGAAGGGGGCUAGCGUUGCUCGGAAUUACUGGGCGUAAAGCGCACGUAGGCGGCUUCUUAAGUCGGAGGUGAAAUCCUGGAGCUCAACUCCAGAACUGCCUUCGAUACUGGGAGGCUCGAGUCCGGGAGAGGUGAGUGGAACUGCGAGUGUAGAGGUGAAAUUCGUAGAUAUUCGCAAGAACACCAGUGGCGAAGGCGGCUCACUGGCCCGGUACUGACGCUGAGGUGCGAAAGCGUGGGGAGCAAACAGGAUUAGAUACCCCUGUAGUCC